AUGGCCGCGGCCAGGAUAGACAGCCACGCCAUCUCGUGGAGGUUGGGGAGCUGGGAGAAGACGUUGCUGAACAAUUGCAUUGAUUGGCACAACAGGCAUUUGUUGGAAUUAACCCCUGAUGAUAAAGGCAUCGAUGAACUAAAUGAGAAACUAAUUGUGGAUGGUGCAAAUGGUAUUGGUGGGUUGAAGUUGGAACAAAUAAAGCCAAAUCUGGCCAGAUUAGACAUUCUUGUGAGAAAUUCAGGAAAAGAAGGAGAAGGAAUACUUAAUGAGAGAUGUGGUGCUGACUUUGUUCAAAAGGAGAAGGUUCUUCCUCUUGGAUUUGGCCCUAAUGAUGUUGGUGUCAGUAGAGGACAAGGGCUUCAUGGACAACCAAGGCGCAUGGUGCUCGCAAGCGACGAAUGGAGUUUGUUCAACAUAGGCGCGGAUGGAGGAGGACAGAGCACCUCUCUUCUUCCAGGUUCUUCUCCUUACCUUCACUUCUUGUAUGUGCCUGUGCUGCAGCUCACCCAUGGUCUUGUUUGUCCUGCCGGUUAG
rnacentral:rRNA from 1 species